ACUUCGGAAGCUCCCUCGAAUGGGAACCCAGAGCGGGUGCGAGGCCCGUAACGAGGUCGCGCCGAUCGGUUAGCGCCUCCGUAGAGUCGGGUUACUUGAGAGUGUAGCCCAAAGCGGAAGGUAAACCCCUUCUAAGACUAAAUACGACCGUGAGACCGAUAGCGAACAAGUACCGCGAGGGAAAGUUGAAAAGAACUUUGAAGAGAGAGUUCAAAAGGGCGUGAAACCGCUUAGAAGAAAACGGACGGAACCGUCUGAGGCCCUCGGGAAUCAGUGGAACGACGCGCGAACGCGUUCAGGGUUUUCGGAGCGUAAAAGUCCGUCUCUGAGCGUCUAGUAGUCGUGUUCGUUUGGCGCAUUUCUCGAGGGUUAGCGUCGCGACCGAUGCGAAAGGCCGGCGAGGCCGCCAGGUUGAGGUCGGAAACCCCUCGCGGGUAUUCGCUACCAGCUUGACGGUAACUAAUCGCUGGACCGUAGUAGGCAUCGAGCGUCAAGAUUAAUGUCGGCGUAAUCGGCGCUCAUCGAUCAGCGGAGAGUUGUCCUAUUUGUCGACGCCUGCUCGCAGGCGAUCGAUUAAUUCUUGGGCGAUUUCAAAGUUGACGAUGACGUACCGGCAUUUUGGCGUCGGCGACGUCCGAGUCGGUCACCCGUCCGACCCGUCUUGAAACACGGACCAAGGAGUCUAACGUACGCGCGAGCUAAUGAGUGGAAAACUCAUAAGCGCAAUAAAAGUAAAUGCCGUCGUUAGAUGGUUGAGGUACGAUCCAGGGUUUCAYCACCUUGGCGCAGUACCGUCCCGUUCCAAUCGCACGUCGGUAGGGCGGAGAUAGAGUGCAUACGUUGGGACCCGAAAGAUGGUGAACUAUGCCUGAGCAGAGCGAAGCCAGAGGAAACUCUGGUGGAGGUUCGUAGCGGUUCUGACGUGCAAAUCGAUCGUCAGACUUGGGUAUAGGGGCGAAAGACUAAUCGAACCAUCUAGUAGCUGGUUCCCCCUGAAGUUUCCCUCAGGAUAGCUGAUACUCGAGGAGAGACGAAGUUUUAUCCGGUAAAGCGAAUGAUUAGAGGAAUUGGGGACGAAAUGACCUCAACCUAUUCUCAAACUUUAAAUGGGUAAGAAGUCGAGCUUGCUCGAUCGAAGCCCGGCCAAGAAUUCGAGUAUCAAGUGGGCCAUUUUUGGUAAGCAGAACUGGCGCUGCGGGAUGAACCGAACGGCGAGGUAAGGCGCCGGAAUGAACGCUCAUAAGAGCCCAGGAAAGGUGUUAGUUGAUAUAGACAGCAGGACGGUGGCCAUGGAAGUCGGAAACCGCUAAGGAGUGUGUAACAACUCACCUGCCGAAUCAACUAGCCCUGAAAAUGGAUGGCGCUCGAGCGUUUUGCCCAUACUCGCCCGCUGUUGACAGAGUAUACAC
rnacentral:rRNA from 1 species